rnacentral:lncRNA from 1 species
CAUAUUAUAAAAAUCAGAGAGCUUGAACUUUUAUAGAUUGAAUUACUUCAAAUUGGUAACAAAUUACAUCAAAGUCAGACGCUUAAACUACUUCAUCAAUGUUCGAAUUCUAAGGUUACAAAUCUGGACAUUAUUUUACAAUUAAACAUGGAGUUUUUCUUCAAGGAGUACAUAAAAUUGGGACACUGGAACUAAUCCUUCAAGCUUGACAUAUGAACCAAGGCCAACAUAUUAGUCAACACCCCAAUUCGAUGAACAACAAAGAAACGAGCUAAUUACACUAUACCUUUUCCCUGAACUUUUUAGACAGAUCUAAUACAUGAAGUAUGAACUACUAAAAUAUUUGACACUGAAUAACUCCACUAAUCAGUGACAAUCACAACAGAUUCAUCACAUUUAAGGAAGAACUAAAAGGGAAGUAGUAAAGAGAAAGCUAAAUGGCUUAAAAGAAACAUGAAAAAUUAAAGUCCAAACAAAAGUAACUUCAUUGAUUUCAGCAUAAGUACAUCUUCCACACAAAACACAUUUAAUCUCCAUUUGCCAUUCAAGAUUCAAGGGGUACCUGGAUGCAGUAAAUGAAGAAAAAUGAGAAAGAAAGUCUUCUGGAAUCAACAAAUAACAACAACAAGCUCCAGUCAAGUCAAUUACAGUCCCAUAGCUAAAAAAUUUAAGAAAGCCCAUAGAACAUCAAUCAAACAGUAGUGAAAAAGACCAAAUAGCUUUGAAUCAUAUUACUAUGAGGCCUUCGACCCUUCUUUCUAUGAGUUGUGUGUGUCCAUAAUGAAAAAUUAACUUUCAGAAAGAGAAAAUCUAUGAGAAUUCUCUAUAUGCAGCUUAUAAAUAUCUUAGUCGUUUUCCUUUUUUUUUGUGUCUUAGACCUCUGCCCUAGAGAUGAGGAAAAUAAGCCUCUUAUAUAAAGAUUUUAGAGCAGUAGAACCUGAUUUUCUUUAUUCACUUUUACCUCUCUUCAAUUCCCUUUUGUUAAUUUCAAACCCCAAACAUUAAACCUAUUUGUUAACCUACCCAUUUUUCACUUUCCUAGAAACUUCCCAGAUAGUUAGGAAAGAUUCCUACCAUUCAAAUCUCCUAACUACCCCUUAAAACAUUUACUAAUUACUUUAACCAUACCAGACAUUUGAGCCAAUAUGCCCAAUGUUUCUUUGGGCUUCUGCAUUAGCAAACCCCAAUAUUUUCUUUGGGCUUCUUGCACUAGCAAGCCCAAUUCCCAAUCCAAAACAAACAACUCAUAAGAAAACCAGACCAACGGAGUUUUGAACUUCUGAGAUGAAAUUUCUAAAGAAGCAAAAACAAAAAGAAAAAUGAGCAAAAGGCAAGGAAAAAAUCAAAAUGUACUAACAAAAGAGAUUAACUGUACUAUUAAGCUAUUAUUACCAAAUUAGUCAACUAUGAACUAAUAUGCUCUAAACCUAACUGAUAUGAAGAGUAGAAAUAAUAAAAAAGGAAAGAAGUAUACCAGUUGGUCUAACAAAGGGAUCAAUGACCCAGAGUUGAUAACAUCCGGCGAAAGGACUUCGGCUCAUGAUGGGAAUUGUAACAUGAGCACUGGCCGGAAUUUCUUUAACGGCUAGUGCUCUAUGUUCCAGUCCUCAACAUGUGCCAAAAUGAAAAAGAAACAGAGGCUUGAAGUAAUGGCUGAUCGGAGAUUGGCUACCCAGAGCUCGGCCAUCAUGCAACAAAUCGAAACCCCAUUCAAAUUGACUCCUCAUAUCGAAAUUAGCUUGCUUAUGCAUGCCAUCGCCAAGAAAAGGCCAGAUAAGGAGAAAGUCGGAAAGAGGACUUUAUUGUUAUAUUUUAGAUUUCUGAUUUGGUGAGGGUGAGCGAUUUUUGGAAUGGAAUAACGGUAAAUCUGGAGUUAAGGGAUGAUGGGGAUUCUGUGGUCAACAUUAGAGGGAGUUCUAAGAAGUGGCCACUGGCAGGUGGGGGGUAAGGAUUCAGGACGGCUAGGGUUAAGCGAUGGGGAAGGAGAUGAAGAGAGGAAGGGUCUCUAGGGUUAGAAAGGAAUUUAGACAUAUAUAAGGGGGAUAUGAAUCAGUUCCCAGCAGUUGGAUCACACAAGAUCAAUAGCUUGGAU